GUUUGGUCUGAGCUAUGAUUGCACUGAAAAUUGAAAAAUAUUCUUUUUUUUUUUAUUUCCUUCAAAAUGUUUUCGAGUCCUUGAAGACAGCUCAAUACUUUGUGAGAGUAAAAUUUGUCUUAAUGGGAACAAAAAAAGAAAACUAAUUUGGUAAACCAGAAUCCUGUCUUUCUAUAGAGUCAAAACUAAACAAAUACUCAAGGUUUUUUCAACUCUCCUGGUACGCGUUGAGAGCCAAUUUUAUAUUUUGUACAAAGAAUUCUUAGAUCUGACAGAGGAAACAAG
rnacentral:misc_RNA from 1 species